rnacentral:rRNA from 1 species
GACGGGGCCCGCGACAAGCGGUGGAGUAUGUGGUUUAAUUCGAUGCAACGCGAAGAACCUUACCUGGUCUUGACAUCCCGGAGACCCUUAGGAAACUAGGGGGUGCUUCCAUCUGGAAGAAUCUGGAGAUAGGUGCUGCAUGGCUGUCGUCAGCUCGUGUCGUGAGAUGUUGGGUUAAGUCCCGCAACGAGCGCAACCCUUGCCUUUAGUUGCCAGCAGUUCGGCUGGGCACUCUAAAGGGACUGCCGGUGUUAAACCGGAGGAAGGUGGGGAUGACGUCAAGUCCUCAUGGCCUUUAUGACCAGGGCUACACACGUACUACAAUGGCCGAUACGAAGGGCAGCGACACUGCGAGGUGAAGCCAAUCCCGUAAAAUCGGUCUCAGUCCGGAUUGGAGUCUGCAACUCGACUCCAUGAAGUUGGAAUCGCUAGUAAUCGUGGAUCAGCAUGCCACGGUGAAUACGUUCCCGGGCCUU